rnacentral:tRNA from 1 species
GUCUCCGUGGCGCAACUGGCUAGCGCGUUCGGCUGUUAACCGAAAUUUGGAGGUUCGAGCCCUCCCGGAAGCA